UGUUAGAGGGUCUUCUAAGUGU
rnacentral:siRNA from 1 species